ensembl:miRNA
UAGGGUUUUGAGACAGUCUAAGAACACAGCUGACAGUGUUCUUAGAUCUGAAAGCCUUACC